UGAGUAACACGUGGGCAACCUGCCUGAAAGUCCGGGAUAACCCCGGGAAACCGGAGCUAAUACCGGAUGGGCCCAUCGACCGCCUGGUCGAUGGGGAAAAGCGGGGAUUUUCCUCGCGCUUUCAGAUGGGCCCGCGGCGCAUUAGCUAGUUGGUGGGGUAAGAGCCUACCAAGGCGACGAUGCGUAGCCGACCUGAGAGGGUGAUCGGCCACACUGGGACUGAGACACGGCCCAGACUCCUACGGGAGGCAGCAGUAGGGAAUCAUCCGCAAUGGGCGAAAGCCUGACGGUGCAACGCCGCGUGAGUGAAGAAGGUUUUCGGAUCGUAAAGCUCUGUUAUCCGAGAAGAACAAGGACCGGUCGAAGAGGCCGGUUCCAUGACGGUACCGGAUCAGAAAGCCCCGGCUAACUACGUGCCAGCAGCCGCGGUAAUACGUAGGGGGCAAGCGUUGUCCGGAAUUAUUGGGCGUAAAGGGCGCGCAGGCGGUUUCCUAAGUCUGAUGUGAAAGGCCACGGCUCAACCGUGGAAUGGCAUUGGAAACUGGGGAACUUGAGUACAGGAGAGGAGAGUGGAAUUCCACGUGUAGCGGUGAAAUGCGUAGAGAUGUGGAGGAACACCAGUGGCGAAGGCGGCUCUCUGGCCUGUAACUGACGCUGAGGCGCGAAAGCGUGGGGAGCGAACAGGAUUAGAUACCCUGGUAGUCCACGCCGUAAACGUUGAGUGCUAGGUGUUAGGGGUUUCGACGCCCUUAGUGCCGAAGCAAACGCAUUAAGCACUCCGCCUGGGGAGUACGACCGCAAGGUUGAAACUCAAAGGAAUUGACGGGGGGCCCGCACAAGCGGUGGAGCAUGUGGUUUAAUUCGACGCAACGCGAAGAACCUUACCAGGUCUUGACAUCUUCUGACCGCUCCAGAGAUGGAGUUUUCCCCUUCGGGGGACAGAAUGACAGGUGGUGCAUGGUUGUCGNUCAGCUCGUGUCGUGAGAUGUUGGGUUAAGUCCCCGCAACGAGCCGCAACCCUUAACCUU
rnacentral:rRNA from 1 species